rnacentral:tRNA from 1 species
GAAAGGCUGUAGCUCAGUGGGCAGAGUAUCUGCUUCACAUGCAAAAGGUCCAAGGUUCGAUUCCUGGCAUUUUUCA